CUGUGAGUUUUAUAAAAAGAGUCAAAUGAUCCUAGGAUGUCCAAGACAGAUUUAAUUUGAAUCCAAGAAGUGAAAAUCCUUCAUGUUGUUUCUGUUUGAUUUUCUUCUAUUGCAAUAAGAUGAUGAGAGUUUUAAAUCCAGUAUCUAUUAGUGUUGGUUCAGUGUCUCUGUUUGUCUGGUGCUGAGAGCAGAGAAAUGAUUUCCAUAGAGUGGAGGCUUUGCAUGGUCAGCUGAUCCUCCAGUGAACUGAGAAGGUUUAUAGUCCUGUGAGUUCAACACUGCAGGACUCAGAUCUGUCAGUCAAGCCAGCAGAAGCAACAAGCACCAUGACCCUCAUCACCAUCCUCAUCUGGACGCUGAGCUGCUGCUGUUUUACAGGAUGCAGAGCUCAGAUCACUGUGACUCAACCUGCAGUGAAGACGAUUACACCAGGAUCCACUGUCACUAUCAGCUGUACAACAAAUCAGGAUGUUUACAAUGGAAUUUACUUGUCCUGGUAUCAGCAGAAACCAGGACAGCCUCCAAAGCUCCUGAUAUAUGGGGCUAAUUAUCUUGAGUCAGGAACUCCAGCUCGGUUUAGUGGCAGUGGAGGCGGCUCUGACUUCACUUUGACCAUCAGUGACGUUCAGGCUGAAGAUGCUGCAGUUUAUUACUGUCAGAGUGCACAUAGAGCAAAUAGUGGCUACGUGUGGACUUUUGGUGGAGGAACCAAACUCAUCGUUGACUCCGGCCCCACGGUCAGACCCUCAGUCUCUCUGCUGCCCCCCUCCUCUGAGCAGCUCUCUGGGGGCUCGGCCACGCUGCUCUGCCUGCUGAGCGGCUACUCUCCUCAGGGAGCCCAGGUGAGCUGGGAGGUGGACGGCACGGCGGUGACAGAGGGGGUCCUGAGCAGCUCCGAGGAGGAGAAGAGCGGACGCUACGGCAGCAGCAGCACCUUGAGCCUGAGCCAGGAGAAGUGGAUGAGAGGAGAGCUGUACUCCUGCAGGGUGGAGCAUCAGGGCCAGAGCCAGGUCCAGAGCAUCACAAGGAGCCAGUGUGAGGGCCAGAGAGGCUGACUGAGGCCCAGAGCAGGAGCUGUUAGUGGGAGAGCAGCAGGACAAACACCUGCUGCUCUCAUCAAUAGGAGUCUGGAUGAAGACAAACUAAAGCUUGUGUGACGCUGAACUAAACUGCUGACAAACGUUCAACAACUUAGACUAAUGUGUGAAGCUCAGCAGCUGGAUGUGAGUGGGAUUCAUUUGCUGUGUGUUUUAAUAAAGCUUGCUCUGAUACAUUA